GGCGGUUCUCAGGUGAUGCACCCGGAAUCAGUCUCCCUCCUCUCUGGUUCAAGGUGCGCCACCCAAGAACCGCA
rfam:Myotis davidii contig43880, whole genome shotgun sequence.